GGGCCUGAAAUGGAAGUGGCUAGAGCUGGCCAUGGACUAGAUGGGAAGCCAGACAGUUCCUCAAAGUGACUGCAUGCAGUCAUCAAUGAAGUACUGGAAUAGGACAGUGGGGAUGGAAAAGGUGAAUUUAAAAGAUUUCAAAGGAAUGAAGAGAAUGACUUUGUGAUAGGGUUUCAGGAAAUGGAGGUGGCAAAGGCAAUGUUUAGAUUUCUAAGGAUUCUGUAAGGAAUUCUGACAGAAAUUGGUAGUUGAGAAGAGAUUUGAGUGGGAAAGAUAAAUGUAUUUUUUUCUCUUUGUUGAAUUUAAGAUGCUGGUAGUUCUGCCACGGAUGUGACAAGAAGCAAGCCACUGAUGGCCUUUUGAAAAACUCCACAAAUAGGGAGGAGUGAAGCCAUGUGACUAGGAGCUAUGAAAUGGUUAGAAAGGAAGUGGAAGGGGCACAUAUAGACACAUAUAAGAUAUCUGACAACAGACACACUGAGAAUAAAGCCUUUAUUGUGUGGCAGAGAGAGACAGUAAAGAGGUUGCUAUGAUAAGAAUAUGUUUGAGAAGGUGAGAUGAGUGGGAUGUGGGGUUUUGUGGAGAAGUUAUUUUUAAAAAGAUUUGCUACUGAUUACAGGGGAAAAAAUUGGAAGAAUAAUGAAGGCUCAUGUGAGAUGUUUUCGGUCUUCAUUCCUCUAAACCCUGAUCAUCCACAGAGAAUGAGAUGACUAUGGUAAGAAGAUACAAAGCACCACAAGACAGUAACUGAUUGGUCCUGAGCCAACAUCUGUGCCAGUCUUCCUCUAUUUUGUAUGUGGGAUGCUGCCACAGCAUGGCUUUAUGAAUGGUGUGUAGGUCUGCAUCAAGGAUCGGAACC